GAUGAACGCUAGCGGCAGGCUUAAUACAUGCAAGUCGAGGGGCAGCACAGAUAGCAAUAUUGGGUGGCGACCGGCAAACGGGUGCGGAACACGUACACAACCUUCCUUUUGGUGGGGGAUAGCCUUUGGAAACGGAGAUUAAUACCCCAUAAGAUAUUGUGACCGCAUGGUUAUGAUAUUAAAGAUUUAUUGCCAGAAGAUGGGUGUGCGUAUGAUUAGGUAGUUGGUGAGGUAAAGGCUCACCAAGCCGACGAUCAUUAACUGGUGUGAGAGCACGACCAGUCACACGGGCACUGAGACACGGGCCCGACUCCUACGGGAGGCAGCAGUAAGGAAUAUUGGUCAAUGGACGGAAGUCUGAACCAGCCAUGCCGCGUGGAGGAUGAAGGUCCUCUGGAUUGUAAACUUCUUUUAUAUGGGGCGAAAAAGGGAAUUCUUUCUCGUCUGACGGUACCCUAUGAAUAAGCACCGGCUAACUCCGUGCCAGCAGCCGCCGUAAGAC
rnacentral:rRNA from 1 species